rnacentral:rRNA from 1 species
GACGAACGUGGCGAGCGUUGUUCGGAAUCACUGGGCAUAAAGCGCACGUAGGCGGCUAAGUAAGUCGGAUGUGAAAUACCUCGGCUCAACCGAGGAACUGCGUCCGAUACUGCUUGGCUUGAGGUCCGGAGGGGAGAGUGGAAUUCCCGGUGGAGCGGUGAAAUGCGUAGAGAUCGGGAAGAACGCCGGCGGCGAAAGCGACUCUCUGGUCGGAAUCUGACGCUGAGGUGCGAAAGCUAGGGGAGCAAACGGG